UCUCCUUCCCACGAUGACGUUUUCAUCGAGGCCACGGAAAAGAGUUUAGGGGAAGGAGAUAGGCGCUAAUUUUGUAAUUACACCGCACAGUAACAAAUCACCACAGAGCCAGGAAAAGGGGGCGGAGAAAGUGUGUGUGCAGGAGAGGAGUCGAGCAGAGAGAGCUACUUUUUCAUGAAACGGGAGUAAAGUAGUGACCUUACAGGAACAUAUACCACUACAGACGUUUGGAUCGGUAUCUGCAUCGAUCUGCACACCCUUGUCUCCUGGAUCGUAGCUGAGAUCAGCGUGAACCACCUGAGUAACAACAGUCUGGUGGAGCAGCAGGACAAUUUCAUCCAUUUGGACUCAGCCACUACAGAGGAAAGAAUGACUUCAACACAAAAGGACCAACAUGGAGCGAGAAGUCAGUGCUCUCAAGAGGCCGACAAACCUCACAGAAGAAAG